rnacentral:lncRNA from 1 species
GUGUCCGCCGCCCGCGGGUGGGGCAGCUUCUUCAAGGCUCAGCCUCCCUCCUGCCGGCUUCCUUGUGCUUUUUUUUCCUCCAACCCUUUCCGCGAUCACGGUUUUCUGGUACCCAAUAGAAAUGGGCGACAGCGAACCGGCCUUUAACCUUUCCUUGAAUUAAUGAGCUUCAGGUUCAGCUUCCUCCUAGGUUUUUUUUUUUUUUUCUUCCUUGUUUUUAAUGACCCUUCCCAACUCCUUUUCCUAUCCCUGAGAGCUUCAGUUACUUGCAGGAAGCCAGCGCUUUCCCAAGCUCUGUGUAGCAGGUCCCCCUCAACCCCCACCCCUGUCUCAGCCAAUCGCAACUGUUGGACGUCGUAGCAAAUUUGUUGGGGUCUCUUGGCAGAACAAGAGUCUAUCCGAGCCGCGUUAGAUACUCAGAUGACACCGAGGUCCGUAGCAGAUGGGUGGACUGAGAAGGUACCUGCGAGCUCCCAGCGGAAUUCGCUGGCAGCUGCGUGAGGCUCUGGUGUUUUGGUUUCUUUGACAUUUUCCCAGCUUCAAAGCGGAGAACGGGAGUCAGGGAUUGGGCGAACUUCAACGUGUUCGGUUACAAGGUAAUUAGAUUAAUGAGAGUGGUGAGUUUUUAUGCAGUGCAAUUAUGCCACGAUUUCUUGUUGCUCGGUGGCUUUUCCACAAGUUUCCAGUCUAUUAAAUUAAUCCAAUGGUAGGUCUGUUUCUACCUGACUUGUCCUCCAAAACCUGGGGCAAACCCCCUCCAACUAUCUCCAAGGAAAAGGGCUAGUAAACGGAGACAAAAGAAAGCACUUGUGGAGGAGUUGACGAUAGGAUCCAAUUUGUCAUCAGAUAGUGUGAAGUGGCAUCUCCUCUGGAGAGUGGCGUCAGUGCUCCUAAGAGCCACGUUACUUUCCCCCUGCCUCUGCCAUUCUCCAAACUGUUGAGGACUGGCAUUUAAAAUGCACUUAGCGCAAUCUAAAUUACAGUUUGCAACUUCACCUGCUACAUUACCCAGAAUCUCUAAUUAGGAAUCUCCUAUCAACUACAGGCACAUUAAUAUUCCACAUGUUACAGUGUGCUGAUCAAUGACCAAGGAUAAUUGGGGGGCAAGCCUUAAGUCUCCCCAUCUUAUUCAUUAGACACACUGUGGAUUCCUCAAACCACCAGAUCCCUAAUGAAGGAGACCUGUCUGUUUUUACUGUAAUUUUUCAUUACUUAUUACAGGCCAUGAUGAUUCAAGUGGUAAACACACCUUUCACUACUCAAGAUAUAAUCCAAGCCUUAUGUCUAUCUUUAAUAUGCUUAAUAAUAGCCUCAGAGUUGCCUGGAGAAAUGACUUUUCAUGGGGGGAGGGCUGGAAGAAUCUGACAGCUUUACAUAAUGGUGUAUACUAAAUGCUAUCAGGACAAACAUUUUUACCAUCUUGCAGUUACUACAUAUAAUAGACGAAACACAGUUCAGAAAAUAUUAAUAAGCAUCUUUCUUUUAAAGAGUGAUCACAUGAUGCUCUUCUUAAAAGUUCUUUUAGCUUGGAGCUGUAGAGAUGGUUGAGUGGUUAAGAGCAGUGGCUGCUCUCCCAAAAGACCUUAGGUUCACUUCUCAAUGCCCACCGGCAACUCACGAUAGUCUGUAACUCCAGUUCCAGGGGAUUCGAGACCCCUUCACGUUCACAGGCACCAAACACACACAUGGUGCACAGACACACAUGCAGGCAAAAUGUUCUUAUACAAAGAUUUUAAGUGCUUUUAGAUAGCUGAUUAACAGCAAAGUGUAGAGUUUUCUUACCUCAAUAUUUAAUUAUAUCCCCAAAGGUACAUUAGGCUAUCAUUACAUCUCAUAUAAACAAAAGGUUAAAGAUCAGUACAUUCAAUUUGGAGUCUUUCUGCUGAUGACUUCGCUUUUUCUGCACUAUCUUGUGUGUAUAUAUGUAUGUAUAUAUAUAUAUAUAUAUAUAUAUAUAUAUUUUAAAUACAAGGGGGUCUAGAUAUUCUUAUCAGUAGAGGGCACCCUCGAGUUGCUUCAAAUCCUGAUAUCAAGGAAAAAAAACUGGGGUGGUGGUGGUGGGGGAGGAGAAUCAUCUUUAAGGUGUUUUACUGCACCUCUGUUGUAAAAUUUGACAAGCUUAAGACAUGUAUGCCUAACAAUUCACUUUUUAUUACAGCGAAGUGUUCAGCUGCUAGAGGAAAAUGCUAUUUUUUUUAAAAAUAAAGUACAAGGUGGUUCCUAUUUU